UACAGAGGGUGCAAGCGUUGUUCGGAAUUAUUGGGCGUAAAGGGCGCGUAGGCGGUGCGGUAAGUCUGCAGUGAAAUCUCUGGGCUCAACUCAGAGUCUGCUGUAGAAACUGCCGUGCUUGAGUGUGGGAGAGGUGAGUGGAAUUCCCGGUGUAGCGGUGAAAUGCGUAGAGAUCGGGAGGAACACCAGUGGCGAAGGCGACUACCUGGACCAGCACUGACACUGAGGCACGAAAGCUGGGGGAGCAAACAGG
rnacentral:rRNA from 1 species